CGGGUGAGUAACGCGUAGAAAUCUGCCUGGUAGUGGGGGAUAGCCCAGAGAAAUUUGGAUUAAUACCGCAUACGCCCUACGGGGGAAAGCAGGGGACCUUCGGGCCUUGCGCUAUCAGAUGAGUCUGCGUCGGAUUAGCUUGUUGGUGAGGUAAUGGCUCACCAAGGCGACGAUCCGUAGCUGGUCUGAGAGGAUGAUCAGCCACACUGGGACUGAGACACGGCCCAG
rnacentral:rRNA from 1 species